UAUCGGUUCAAAUCCGAUAAGGGGC
rnacentral:tRNA from 1 species